GACGAACGCUGGCGGCGUGCUUAACACAUGCAAGUCGAACGGAAAGGCCCUGCUUUUGUGGGGUGCUCGAGUGGCGAACGGGUGAGUAACACGUGAGUAACCUGCCCUUGACUUUGGGAUAACUUCAGGAAACUGGGGCUAAUACCGGAUAGGAGCUCCUGCUGCAUGGUGGGGGUUGGAAAGUUUCGGCGGUGGGGGAUGGACUCGCGGCUUAUCAGCUAGUUGGGAGGGUAGUGGCUUACCAAGGCUUUGAGGGGUAGCCGGCCUGAGAGGGGGACCGGCGACACGGGAACUGAGACACGGUCCAGAGGCCUACGGGAGGCAGCAGUGGGGAAUGUGCGGCAACGGGGGAAAGCAUGACGGAGCAACGGCGGGGGAGUGAUGAGGGUGUUCGGAUGGUAAAGCUCGGGGAUUGGGGAAGAACAAAUGUGUAAGUAACUAUGCACGGCUUGACGGUACCUAAUGAGAAAGCAACGGCUAACUACGUG
rnacentral:rRNA from 1 species